GUCCGAGUAGCCAAGUGGGAAGGCGUUGGUCUGCAAAACCAACCAUCGUGGGUUCAAUCCCCACCUCGGACUCCA
rnacentral:tRNA from 3 species